GGCUCCGUCGUCUAAACAGGUUAGGACGCUGCCCUUUCAAGGCAGAAAUGUCGGGUUCAAAUCCCGUCGGAGCUG
rnacentral:tRNA from 1 species